AACGGCCAUACCAUGCUGAAUAUACCGGUUCUCGUUAGAUCACCGAAGUCAAGCAUCAUUGGGCGCGGUCAGUACUUGGGUGGGUGACCACCUGGGAACACCGCGUGCCGU